rnacentral:lncRNA from 1 species
UCCAUUAGGUUGAGCGAUCUGAUCUGACAAAUGUUUUAAAUGCUACACUCAUGGUCUUAUUAUCCAUCAACUUUGUCUUGCUCACUAUGCUUAAGGUUAGAGAAGAACAAAUACACUUUUGGUUCUGUUGGUGUUUUCCACCAACAGGGCCCAUGCACUUGAUCUCUGCCUUGUCUCUAUGAGCAGGUACACUUCGAGCAUCACAUGAAGGAGUAUUAGAACUCCCAGACUCACCCAAGUGAAGAACCUAGGUCUACGAGCACAAACACACUGGAGAUACUGGACACUUAGGCAAUCACUGCCCUGGGAUGCUUAAGGACGUAACUACUGGAGUAACCCCGUUGUGAAAGUAAUUACUGACCUUCUGCC